rnacentral:lncRNA from 1 species
CCAGCAGCCCCCACGGGAAUGGCAGAGGAGCAGGGCCUAACGAGACAGGAGGAUCUAGGCGAUUGCGCAGGUGGGGCCCGGGCCUCCGCCUCAGGUGGCACCAGGGGGCCUGGAGCAGCCGCGGCUUCGCCCUGACUGUGAGGAGAGGCCUCACACGCAGGCCAAGUGUAUUGGCUUUGUGAAGAGGACUUCCCAGGGCCCAGACCGAGUUGGGGACUGUGGUGCGAACCAUGCUGCUGCCGGGUCUCUGAGUCCCUGGUGCAGGUGAUUGCGGGGUGGAACGUUGAAGCAGGUACUGAUCCUGCUCUGGUCCGUGGGGCUGUGGAAAAAUCAUUUUCAGUAUUUCUGGUCUCUUCUGGAAGACCUUCGCUAACAGCAAAUUCUCAUCUUGGACGAUGUCACGCGGCUGUCGUGGGACUGUGUCCCCAAAGCAGCAGUGAGGAAAAAACGGGCCCAGUAGUGGCGAGACCUCGGCCCUGGCCCUACCACUAGGAAGACACUCUACAAGUCAAGCUGGCACUGGUUAAAUUAUAAGAUACACUACAAUCUCGUUCCCUGACCUCUUGAAGGUUUUGUUGAUAAAGGAAAAACGUAAACAUACAAGUAAACACGUUAUAAGACCCACACAAGCAAGGUUUUGCUGAACUGAAUAUACUGAAUUAUUACAACAACUAUUAUAAUUAAAGAAAUGCCGAUAUGAACAAGAACCUGGAAAAGAACAAUGUAGCUUUCUGGAGGUUUCAGGUGGCAGCCAGUACCUUGCCAGCAUGCUUGACACCUGAGUCCUCUAGUGAAGAACACAGUUAACUCCUUUGGAGGCAGCAAGCUAACCAGUGCCUGGAGACGUAUGGUGACUUCUUCCCUGCCAGAGAAACCAAGGCCCUCUGCCAGGAACUUGGCCAACCAGUACCAGCUCUCAGGCCUCCCUUCCCAGGGGAUGAUAAGUGAGCAUCCCCAGCUUUGUUGUUUGUCCUGAGUCUAGCGGCAGUCCGAGUUCCUGGGUAUCAUGGUGUCGGGCACACAGAAAAGGAGAGAACCUGAUCGAUCGAUAGGAGAGACAUGAUAAAGAGGACAGCAUCCUUCUCUGAUCUCUUUGCUGAUAGGAAAUGCAACACAGUGGCACCCAGGUUCUGCUCCAGCAAGUCAGUUCCAUACACCAGCUCAGGAAAGGGAGUGCAGAGGCAAAGGGCACACUGCUCUCAGGUUCAGCGAAGUCCAGUUUCAUCGCUCUGUGCCAUGAAGAGGUGUUUAUGCCAGCUGGAGUCAUUUUUCCCUGGAGUUCCUGAGGAUGCUUGAGAUCCCUUCCUUUUUUUUUUCUCUCUCUCUCUCUUUUUUUAAGUUUGUUUAAUAAUAAAAAAAAAGUAAAAACCUGUAUAUGGUUUUUUAAGAAAAUCAAGCCCAGAAAGUUAGCUAUUAAAUAACUGUAAGUGCCCCAUAUUCCAGAACCCAACUUUUAUUCUUCAACUGCAGGUAACUACAACCAAUAAUUUUUUUGUAUCCAGAAAUAAUCAAGUGUGUGUGGUGUUCAGCAUGCAUACCUAUAGCAUAGCAAUGGUUAACAGUGCAGGAUGUGGAGUUAGACUGCCUGGUUUUGAAUCCUCAUACACCACUUACUAGGACUCUGGGCAAAUUACUCUGACUUUCUGGGUCACAGGGCCUGUUGAUAAUACCUAUCUUUUAGAGUUGUUAAGAGUCAAUGCAUGUAAAGUGUUUAAAAUAGUACCUGGCACAUAGUAACAAUUGAGUAAAUGCUGAGUAUUAUUAUUUUAUUAUUCAUAUAAUUGUUUAUGUAUAACUGCAUUUUAAAACUUAUACAAACACAAAUUAAGCAUGCUGUUUUUAACUUAUACUUUUUUCCAUCAAAUUAAACUGCUAUGAGAUUUUUCUCAUGUAAACACAGAUCUGCCUCAUUCUUUUUUAAAUAGCUUUAUAUAUUUAAAAUUAUUGUAUAUACGUAUGUUUUAAAAAUUCAGCUAGAUUCCUAUUGGCUGACAUUUGGACAUUUCCUGUCUUUUUUUUUUUUAUAGAAAAUGCUUGGAAAAUUUUUCUUAAUGUAUCUUAAUAAUAAAUUUCUGGCAGUGGGAUUGCAUGGUCAAAUAAUAUGUUUUUUGAAUUACUUUUUUAUUUUUAGCAUUUAAAAUUUUAAUCUAUUUGGAAUUAUUUUUGAUACACUGUAAGGCGAAGAUCCCAGCCUUCUUUUUGUGUAGAUUAAUGGCCAAUUAAGCCAAUAUUAUUUAUUAAAUAAAGGAUUUUUCCUCACUGAAUUGAAAGCCUAUUUUUUAUAUAUUAAAUUCUGAAUCUGUUUUAAAUCUUUAUUCUGUUUCAAUUAUAUACAUUGUUAAUAUUGUACACCAUUUCCAUCAAAUCUCAAAUUCACCAAAUGGUAAACACAUUUCAAUUUCUAUAGGAGUUUUAUAGAAAUGUGUAUUAUGGAAAUGCAGCAUCAAUAUACAACUCUCAUUUCCCCAUACUCUCCUCUCAGCUCUGAAUAUCAUUAAUGAUUUUAAAUUAUUUUUGCAAAUCUACUAGAUGGAAAGUCAUUUCUUAUUUUUUCAUUUGAAUAUUUUAAUCUAAAGUAGAUUUGAAGAGGUUUUUGCAUAUUCUUUUGCUAUUUGUUUCACUGUUUCUAUCAGGUUGUAUUUUUUCAUAUAUAUGUUUUAAAUGUUCUUUCUAUUUCAAGUCAACAAUGAGUGCUUUAAUAUUUUUUAAGAUUUUGUCUUUUAAUUUUAUUUUUCAUAUUUUUACUAUAUGUUAAUUUUAACUUUAUUGUUCAGUCGUUUCCUUGAUAGGGUCGUGAUUUGGAUAUCUGCUUAUAAAGAUUUUUUGCACUCCUGUACACACAUGUACACACAUAUUGACACAAACAUUUCCUUGUCUUCUAGGUCUUUUGUAAAUUUGUUUUUAGGUGUACAUAUUUUUAAAGAACUGAAAUUUAUUUUGGUAUAAGACCUCACAGGUAUUCACAAAUAUUUCAUUUAUGUUUCAAAUGUCUAACCAGUUGUCAACAUUAUUUAUUGACUAUUUUAUCUUUUCAAUACUGAUUUACAAUACCAGAAUUAUUAAGUACUAAAAUGCACAUUUUUACAUAAUCUACUCGAGUACAAAAAUGUAUGGUUAUGAUAACUUCAUGAUAUGGUCAAUGUCCGAUUUGACUGACACUAUCUUGUUGCUCUUAUUCUGCAUAAUUUUGAGCAUUGGAUUUUUCCAGAUGAAGUUUAAUAUUACUUUCUUAAUUUUCGUAGCAGAAAAAAUACAAGCUAAGCUGUGAGCAAUUUAGAUAAAUAAAAUUGUAUAUUUGGGGUGUUAAGAUUAUUAAAAUGAGUAGUCCUGCCUUUUUCUAAACUCUUGCGUCCUCUUUAUGGAUUUUGCAUCUUCUAUUCCCUCUGCCUGGAAUGCUUUUCCCCCUGGUAGCCACCUGGCUUGCAUCCUCACUUCCUUUGGUCAGAACUUUAAAUAUCACCUGUCACUGAGGUCUUCCCUUACCAGCCCCCGGCCAUGCUGUUUAAAAAAACAAAACAAAACAAAACAAAACAAAAAACACCUUUAUCCAACUCUUCAGUCCUAUCAAUCUGUCUUCUUGCUUUACAUCUCCCCAUAGCACUGAACACCAUAACAUAUGAUGUAUUUUUUAGUUUGUAGACUGUCUGUCUCCCCUCACUAGGUCCCCCUCCAUGAGGCCAGGGACUUUUGUCUAUUUUGUUCACUACUCCCUGAGACCUAGAAUGGUGUUUUUUAUGCAAUAGGCCCUCAAUAAAUAUUUUCUGAGUGACUGAAUGAAUAAAUGAAGGAAUCUUCAAGAUCAAGCAUUCCGAUCCAAGAUAUAAUCUGGUUUAGCAUUUUAGUUUUCUUUCACGUCCUUUAUAUUAAUAUAUAAGUAGUUUACAUUUAAAAGUGUGUCAUUCCUAUUUUUCUAUUGCAGAGGAAACCUGUUUUCCUGGUCUAUUUUUUAACUGGAUAUUGUUUAUACAAAG